rnacentral:rRNA from 1 species
UACAUAGGGGGCAAGCGUUAUCCGGAAUUAUUGGGCGUAAAGAGUGCGUAGGCGGAUGAUUAAGUCUGGUGUAAAAUUUCACAGCUUAACUGUGGAGGGUCAUUGGAAACUGGUCAACUAGAGUACGGUAGAGGUAAGCGGAAUUCCAAGUGGAGCGGUAAAAUGCGUAGAUAUUUGGAGGAACACCAGUGGCGAAGGCGACUUACUGGGCCGGGACUGACGCUGAUGCACGAAAGCGUGGGGAGCAAACAGGAUUAGAUACC